UACGUAGGGGGCUAGCGUUGUCCGGAUUUAUUGGGCGUAAAAGAGCGCGUAGGCGGCCGAGUAAGUCCGACGUGAAAUCUGGAGGCUCAACCUCCAGCGGUCGUUGGAAACUACUCGGCUAGAGUCCGGAAGAGGAGAGUGGAAUUCCUGGUGUAGCGGUGAAAUGCGCAGAUAUCAGGAAGAACACCGAUGGCGAAGGCAGCUCUCUGGGCCACACCUGACGCUGAGACGCGAAAGCUAGGGGAGCGAACAGG
rnacentral:rRNA from 1 species